rnacentral:tRNA from 1 species
GGGGGUGUAGCUCAGUUGGGAGAGCACCUGCCUUGCACGCAGGGGGUCAGGAGUUCGAAUCUCCUCAUCUCCA